rnacentral:rRNA from 1 species
AUUGAACGCUGGCGGCAUGCCUUACACAUGCAAGUCGAACGGUAACAGGUUAAGCUGACGAGUGGCGAACGGGUGAGUAAUAUAUCGGAACGUGCCCAGUUGUGGGGGAUAACUGCUCGAAAGAGCAGCUAAUACCGCAUACGACCUGAGGGUGAAAGCGGGGGAUCGCAAGACCUCGCGCAAUUGGAGCGGCCGAUAUCAGAUUAGCUAGUUGGCGGGGUAAAAGCACACCAAGGCGACGAUCUGUAGCUGGUCUGAGAGGACGACCAGCCACACUGGGACUGAGACACGGCCCAGACUCCUACGGGAGGCAGCAGUUGGGAAUUUUGGACAAUGGACGCAAGUCUGAUCCAGCCAUGCCGCGUGCGGGAAGAAGGCCUUCGGGUUGUAAACCGCUUUUGUCAGGGAAGAAACGGCUCUUUCUAAUACAGAGAGAUAAUGACGGUAGCUGAAGAAUAAGCACCGGCUAACUACGUGCCAGCCGCCGCAGUAA